AACGGUCUAUACCUGCGGUACCUGCGGAGGGAUCAUUAGUGAACGCCCUCACGGGCUUAUAACUACUCCAAACCUCUGUGAACCGUGCCCUUCGGGGCUAUUUUACAAACAUGGUGUAAUGAACGUCAUAUAUCAUAACAAAACAAAACUUUUAACAACGGAUCUCU
rnacentral:misc_RNA from 1 species